GCUGGAUUCUUUACCACUGGGCCACCAGGGAAGCCCUAUAUCAAGCUAGAUGCCAUGUUUAAAACUCUAUGUAUCAAGAAGUUCUCCCCAUUUCCACAGUCUUUGAAGUUGACCCCUUGCCAACAGGGUCCAUUGCAAAAAUGAAAAUGUAGGGCCCUGGCCACGAGUGAGGAAAUCAACCUCCCCCUUCCCAUAGGCCCGCUGCCCCAACCCAUGGUCAACAAGUGCCUCCCUGGGAGAUUGCAGCCUCCAUGCUGGCUACACUUGGUACCCAGAUCUGAGACCACCCUCUGUGGCAUUGUGAGCCCAGAGCAGAGACUGCUGCCCCCUCACCCUACCAUUAGCAUACACCCAACUUGGACCCUCCCCACUCCUGUGUCCAGGUCCCUGCCAGGAACAGAAGGUGACAAUGGCAUGAAGAGACAGUCAAGAUCUGUCAGGGAGGCAGGAAAUCUAGAAGACAAGACUGCAGGAAAGUAAAGGCUGCCAGUCCCUGGACUCAUGUUCCAUUGUCCUACAGACUUCGCUUACAGAAAUGAAAUCGAAGAUAAAAUUACUAACAAUUUCAAGAUGGUGAAUGAUGGAUGAUUUAAGCAGGACCUGCCGUUUAUCUUCAGUGACAACCCAAGGAGUUGUGUAUUAUUUCACUUAACAGGUUACAACAAAGGUAAAUUCUUUACCAACUGAGCUAUGAUCUUGGCCAAAUCAUGUGAUCUCGCUAAAGCCUGCUAUCCUCACCUGGGAAUGGGGAUAAUAACAGUGCUGUGAAAUUUAUAAAGUACUUGGAACAGCAGCUCAAGUGUGGGAAAUGUUGGGAUCAUCACUGUCAUAAUCAUCCUUUGUAAAGCUGAUGAUUGAAAUGCAAGACAGACAGACACUGGAGAUCAGCAUCCAGUCUUUUAUCCCCUUGGAUAAACCCUGCUCACUCAGAACGAAGGAGAGAAGAAGAACAUCCCUCUGGUGCCUCAUCACACGAGAAUACAGGAGGGACACUCUGCCAGCCCCCACAUCAACCUUGCCCUGACAAAAGUCAGCCUGCCCGGAAUAAGAAAGUAACCACAGCUGAGAAAGGACUCCAUGUUGUGUUUCACUGCCUUGAGCGGCUUCAGCUGCAUGCAACAAAUUCUGUGUAACUUUAUUGAGCCAACUUAUUGGCUAAGUUGAAGAUCUCUCUUGGAAACAGUUUCCAUGGAAAGAAAUCUGAGCUAACCUGUUGGGGAGGUCAUACAGUGAGAAAGAGACCCUGGAGGAUAAGAAGCCACAUAGGAAAGAACCAAGGUGCCCCAGUGGACAGCCAGGACCCAGACAUAAGGUAAACAUGCCCCAGAGAGGUCCUACCUCCACAGCCCAAGUCUAAGAAUGAAGAAGACAUGGAACAGAGUUAAAUAAUGAACAAGUAAGAUGAGU